rnacentral:lncRNA from 1 species
AUGAACUGCGACAUGGAGGAGAAAGGGAUUGUACUCCGGGAGCUGAGCUGCCAGACUCUCCUCCAUGUCUCCUCCUCCGGACUACGGCGGCAGUCCGGCAGCUCCGGUGGGGGGAGGCAGUCCAGCAGAGAAAGGGAUUGUACUCCCGGAGCUGAGCUGCAGCCAAGUUCCCCCUGCCGGAGCUGCUCGUCCGCUGGUCCACAAAAUCUCUGGCCCUCUCUCAACAGGCUGACCCAAGGCUGCUGUGUGGCGCUGCGGACGCUACUUCCGGGUAGCCGGCUUGGUUUGGUUAGCAGGACGCUUAAGGUCUACCUGCUAUUUUCGGUUUAUAUCUAUUUUUCCGCUAUUUAUAUCUGCGUCCUGUUCUGCAUACUCUGUAUUGUAUUCGCUAUUUCCUCGUUGGAGCUCUGUCUGCAUCAACCAAGGUGGUGGUAUCCUGCCCCUGCGACGAUCAGCAGGCUACUUUCAGCUGUCGUCGCAUCACCCCUGCUCACCUUACAGCUAUGGCAGAUAAGUUACCCCGUUCACUUGCUCCUCUUUGUAACUAUAGGGGUUCUGUAGAGUGCCUUACUGACUUACAGUAAGGCACUUACUUACUUGUAAUUAAAAAACAAUCAUUGAAAAAACCAGCUCCCUGGUUUAAUGCAGAAACGCGCACCCUGAAGCGAAACUGCAGAAUCCUUGAACGCAAAUGGCGCUUGACUAAACUUGAGGACUUUCAUCUUGCAUGGCACAACAGUCUGCUCACCUGCUUACAAGGGUGCACUGACUACUGCCAGAAACGCCUACUCUUCCAGUAUCAAAAACUUGUAUAGAAACAAUCCCAAGUUUCUUUUCGAUACGGUGAAGAGUCUGACUCAGAAACAGACUCGUAGGCAUCUCCCUCUUGGCAGGUCAAUUCAUGGAUUUCUUUGAAAAUAAGAUUAGAGAGGAAAUUUAUGCUUGCCGUGCAACUUGUCCUACACAUCCUGUGGGGCAGGAUGGGGUCUUGCAGAGUAGGAUGGGGAACUCUUGAGCAGAGUUCCCGAUGUCCGCUAAUUACCGUUCUUUGACCGGAAAAAAAUGAGUAGGACCGAAAAUUCUAAAUGUCUCCGGUCAGAAUGACUGAUUGGAAAUAAGGCCCCGUCCACACGGAGCCGAAACGGGCGAAAACAAUCCGGUUUCGUUUUAUGCAGAAUAUUCAAGGCGCUGGUUCUCCACGGAAAAAGUGGAUCGAAUCAACCCUGCGCGCAUACAGCAUGCGCGCUGUAUACAAACAUUCAGUCACAAGGAGAUUCAAACUUUUAAAUUGAGCAGAAAUACUUUUGAAUGCGUUCAUUUGAAUUGUGUUUAAAUAUGCUACAGUGGUCAUUUGUUUAGCAAAUUCAUGUAAAACAAUGAGGGUUUUGAUUGUAGCGUAGCCUGUGUGAUAAAAUAUUUGUUACAUUUCGUGCACUCGCUCAAAUUGAUCGCUAUAGAAUACCCUAGGUUUAUGAAAUAAACGGCGGCAAGCUAGCGAAAACCGGCGGCAAGCUUUGCGGAGUACCGGUAUUUAACAACCAUGGCGAAUCAAAAUAUGAUCACACACUUCUUCUUCUUCUUCUUUAUACAGCCUGCCUAUCAAUUUUCUUAAGUGCAAUAAACUCGGACGAUAUUUUUUUCCAAUUUGACCGGUAAAAUGAAACCUUCCCGGUCACAUGACCGGCACCAAUUUCUUCUAGCGGAAACACUG